UUUUUAAAGAGUCUUUUUCUGGCAUGACUGGGGUGGGAAUCCAGGAGGCCUCACAGAGGUAGGGUCUUCACUCUAGGGUGAUCGUGGUAUUUGUGACAAGUAACAACCAUUUCUUUUUCUCCUCUAAGAAGCCCUGGCCCGGAACUGAAAGUUGCCAGGGACGGCUGCUCCGUCAAAGGAAAGUGACAGGGCAACUGGAGUCCUUGAUGCCCAAAGGGGAUCUGUAAGAAAAACUACCCUGCCCCUCUGAGGUUGUAGUCGGUGGGAGUGGAAUUGAGGGGUCACUGCCUGUGACCCACGAGGCUGCGGCAGGAAUUUUCCUCUGGUGUGGCGUGUGGGCUAAUUGGGCCCUACCCACCCCCCGGGCUGCCCUCAGGAAAAGACAGGAGCCAGCAUCCUGUCCAGGAGUGACAUUUCAGCUCACUGGGCCGGAUUGUUAUCACCGCAGUGCAGAGGAGGAAACAGGUCAAGAGGUGAAGUGACUUGCCUGGGGCCGUGGACUUAAUUAGUGGCUUGAGCUGGGGCUGCCUGCCAGUCGUGUGUCUUUUCCCAGGCCCUUCUCCCAGCCUGGCCUGCAGGUGCUGAGUUUCCUCAGGUGGGCUGCGG
ensembl:lncRNA